rnacentral:sRNA from 1 species
GUCGUGAGAUGUUGGGUUAAGUCCCGCAACGAGCGCAACCCUCGUCCAAUGUUGCCAGCGGGUAAUGCCGGGGACUCAUUGGAGACUGCCGGGGUCAACUCGGAGGAAGGUGGGGAUGACGUCAAGUCAUCAUGCCCCUUAUGUCUUGGGCUGCAAACAUGCUACAAUGGCCGGUACAAAGGGCUGCGAACCCGUGAGGGUAAGCGAAUCCCGGAAAGCCGGUCUCAGUUCGGAUCGGGGUCUGCAACUCGGCCCCGUGAAGCCGGAGUCGCUAGUAAUCGCGGAUCAACAACGCCGCGGUGAAUACGUUCCCGGGCCUUGUACACACCGCCCGUCACGUCACGAAAGUUGGCAACACCCGAAGCCGGCGGCCUAACCCGUAAGGGAGGGAGCUGUCGAAGGUGGGGUUGGCGAUUGGGACGAAGUCGUAACAAGGUAGCCGUACCGGAAGGUGCGGCUGGAUCACCUCCUUUCUAAGGAGCACCGGCGCCGACCGGCAGCGAACGACUGCUGCGGCGUCCAUGCUUUCUAGUGGAGCACUGGCUAUUCGGUAUCUCUUCUUACCGCUGUCCGGCUAGUACGCUCUCCCCUCGGGGAAUUGCGGAACGAGGAGCGGGCGGGAGGCGGGGUAUCGAGCACGCUGUUGGGUCCUGAGGAAGCAGCCGCUUCGCUUAGGGCGCCUACCUCGGCGAGUACUCUUAUUUUGCCGUCGCUGGAAGGGUAACUCCUUCCUCCAGCGCAAAAUUAGAGUGCUUGACACGGCCUGCGAACGGGGAUCUCCGGAUGGAGGUCCCUGACGCAUGGUUCCGUCCGUAACUUGAGAACUACACAGUGGACGCGAGCAUCUUCUGGACCGGGCCCUUUGGGUCCGAGUCUGUAGCAGUUUGCAUGUAGUGCAUGCAGUGUCAAGUUUUUAAGAGCAUACGGUGGAUGUCUUGGCACCAGGAGCCGAUGAAGGACGUUGGAGCCUGCGAUAAGCCUCGAGGAGCCGGCAACCGGGCUGUGAUUCGAGGAUUU